UCAAAGUGCCUGUUCUACGUACUUUGCUGAGACAAAAAUCCAAGUUCUUCCUUCCCAUAGCAUUAAAUGUGUUCUUCUCAGCCUGAGUUCAUGGGACAUCGAAAGGGAAGAAUGUGGAUUAGGCAACUCUCCCAUUCUCCUCCUGAGGAGGCUUAUUUAUGUAAGCCUUCUUUUCUUAUCUUCGACUCACAUUCCCUUGGCUUUUGGAAAAUUAGAUUACCUAUUUUAUUUUCCUAGCCAUAUGCAACUUAUAAACCUUGGCAGUCCAAAUCUAUUGGAAAGCUCAGAAGUACUAGUCUCUCUUAGUCUUGAUAGUAUCUGAUGAGAUUUGUCUUCCUAAUUUUAUUUGUUGACAACAGCAGUCUUGUUUUAAGUGGUUCUUUUUCGCACUCCAAUAGGAGGCACUCAAUCCUCUCUGGAAAAGACUGCAAACAAAGAGUUUCUUUCCCCUUUUCAUCUAAGGAGAGUUAAUGUGCCUGUAUCUUCAGAGAAGGCAGCUGCAGUUCAAGAGUAUGCCCAGUGUUCUCGUUUAUCCUCCUCCUCCUCCUGUGGGCUGUUGGAUUCCUGGCGACAGUAAGCCAGACACUCCAGGAGAUGACCUCUUCUUGUCGAUACUGUCAUUCUGUCUUCCCCUUGGCUCUGACCUAUAUCUUCCCUUGCUGGCUCUUAGUCUGCUCUUUGCUGACACACUUCGACUGCAACACAAUUCCCCAUCCUUGCUUGAAUCAUAGGCGAGUGUGUUCUCUGCUUGGUAAAGAUGACUUGAUAUUGACCCUAGUAUUCUCUCUGCUGCUUCCUUUCUGGUCUCUUUUCUGCCUCCCCUAACUUUCAGGGUGCUAUUUCACAAUUUCUUGAAAGACACUGGACUGAACAACAUAUAAGAAAAAAAGGCUACAGCAUAAAUAAUAUAAUAACCACUAUUUGCAUACUUUGUGUCAUGCACUGUGUUAGCACUUUGCAAGCAUUUUCUCAUUAAAUUCUGAUGAAAGGUCAUUAUGUAAUAUAUUUCUGUUGUUAUCUUAAUUUCAGAAGUGGUAACUGAAGCUCAGAGAGUUUACAUUACUUUCCCAAUGGUAAGCCUAGUAAAUGAUAGAGCCACAACUUGAGCUCACUUGCCAUGCCCAAGUCUAUUCCUAUACUCAAUACUAUUCGACCUCAUUGCUUGGAGACACAAGGAAAAGCACUUCUGAGACCCUCAACAUUGUUCAUUUUCAUAAUAUUGCAUCUUUGGCAACCAAAUGUUGCUGUGGUGAUUUUGUUUCUCCCUGUUUCCCUGUUGCUAACAUCCAGGGCCCAAAGUUCCCUCUGAGCUCGCUGUCGUCUCUUACUUCUAUUAGCAAGAGGUGUGGAAAGACCUAUUUUCCCAACCUAAUCAGACAGUGCAGACGGUAGCUUCUUAUCCUGUUGUGCUUAGGUCAAUGUUUUAUCGGUUUUUAAAAUACCUUGUUUUAGAUAUAAUCAAUACCUUAUUUCCUUUUAAGCAGUAGCUCUGUAAUUUUGUAUUAGAAAUAGAUAACACAGAGUUACAAUGCCAGUAGCCAGCACUGUUUAUGUACCCAACAUGGUGAUUUAUGUGUAUUCUUACUGAAUCAUUGCAAAAGUUAGGUGAGGCUGAUAAUAAUGUGAUCUUCAUUUGACAGAGAGGAAACUAAGACUCAAUACAAUAGCAAGCUUCUGUCACCUUGACUACUGCAUCAUUCUCCCAAGUGGUCUUUUCACAUAUCCUCUUGCUCUUCACUCUUUUCCCACAUUAUUGCAAGAGUGAUAUGUUUCAAAAUGUAUGUCUUAUUAGGCCACUUUCCUAUGUAAGCCCUGUCAGUGGUUUCCAAUUUCCCUUAGAACCAAGUCCAAAAUCCUUUAUGUGGCUUAGGAGAAUUGCCGUGUUUCACCCUGGACCAAGUUCUCACUCUUGUUCUCACUCUUGUCUCUUAGCUCUUUGAUCAAAACUUCUGUAACCCAAAUCUACUGGUUUUCUUUCUAUCUCCAGUAGGUGCCUAAAUAUAAAUUAUAUUAUCUGUCUCCCAAGUUAUUUGAAUAAAGCUUGAACCCCAAUUUGGCUAUUCCUUAUUGUGCCUGCUCCACUGGCAAAUAUAGUUUUGUAGUAGUUUCAUUCACAUCUGUUCAGCUGUUGUAGUUUUAGCUGUUUUUCAUAUUCAACCUGGUAGGUUGAAUAUUAUCCUUCCACCCAAAAGAUGUUCAAGUCCUAAGUCCUGGGACUUGUGAAUGUUAUUUUAUGUGGCAAAAGGGAUUUUGCAGGUGUGAAUAAAUUAAGGAUCUUGAGAUGGGAAAGUUAUCCUGGAUUAUCUGUGUGGGCCUGAUGUAAUCACAAGUCUAAUGGCUCUAAUAAUGGCCCUACUAAUGGCCCUAAUCACCUCAACCUUUUACUGCUUCUUUAAGAUACUUUAAGAGGGAGGCAGGAGAUCAGAGUAACAGUAGUAGGAAAUAUGGCAACAGAAGCAAGAAGGUGGAGUGAUAAGAAGGGACUAUGAGCCAAGGAGUACAGGGAAUCUCUAGGACUGAAAAAGGCAAAGAAACAGAGAUCUGAAGUCCCCAGAAGGAGGACAUCCUGCUGAAAACCUUAUUUUAGACUUCCAAUCUUUAGAAUUGUAGGAGGAUAAAUUUAUCUUGUUUUAUGACACAAAAUUACUUGUCACUUGUUAGAAUAGCAGUAAGAAACAAAUACAUCCCAUGACCCAACUUUCAAGAUUCUAGAAAACCGAGAGACUGGAGUCAUUUAUUUAACAAAUAUCUUCUGAGUGCCAGGUACUCUACCUGAGACAUUGCCCUUGUGGUUUUAUUUUUGAAUACAGAAAGACAGAAAAAAAAAUAAAGAUCAUAUUGGAGUUAUUAGUACUAUACAUUUAGAGAAGACAAAAAAAAAAAAAAGAAGAAGAAGAAGAUAUGAUGGAUCUGUAGUGCCAGGGAGGGGAAUUGCAAUUUUAAAUAGGAUGGUCAGUGCAGGCCUCCUUCAGAAAGUGAGCAAUGUGAAGGAGUUAGCUAUAUGGAUCUCUUAGGGCAUUCACCAGGCAGAUAAAAAAACUAGUACAGAGGUCAUAAGAAGGGAAUGUGCCUGGAUAUUCACAGAACAGUAAAAAGGCCAGUGUGGCUGAGGCAGGGUGAGUUGGGGUAGAAGAAUAGGAUAAUGAGGUCAUAGAGGUACCAGUAGAACCAGCUCUUGUCAGGCUCUCCCUGGAGUACUGUGGGUUACCACUGGAGGGUUUUGAGCAGAGCCAUGGCAUAUACUGAUCUACGUGUAUGUGUUUCUAAGCAUAACUUCUUGGAAGAAAAGGGAAUUCUUAGAAGCAAUUAGAGUAUCACACCCAUGCUAUACCCUUUGCUUCAUUAGCUUGCUCUAUUUGUCUGUUAUUUUGAAAUUACCCAAGCUGAAGCAGAAAAACUGCCAGGAAAAUGUCACAGCCACCCCUUAAUGAACAGCAGAAACACCAGCAAAACACCAACUGCAACAUGGUGUAUUUUGAAGGAAUCAAGAUAAUCAGUUGAGAGUGAGGAGAGGAGAUGUGCUGGAGGCUUAAGGAGUGAGUAGAAGGUGAGAUUAAAUUUACCUACACCUAGAGAAAUAAUUGGAGCACAUGUCUAUUUGGGCCAACAGGAUAAAGGCCAGUAGAGGAAUCAGAUCAAAGAACUUCCUCAGGGAAGUGUGCAGAGAACUGGAGUGGACCUUCCCCUAGGAAGCUGCCCAAAAGGAGAGUGCUGGAAGGCUGGCCGCAGUGAGGCACUUCAGAUCCCAAGUGUAUGCUGGGGAAGCUGCCACAGGUGGGAGCACUUGCUGCUGGCCCCUAGGCACUGUUGAAACAACUGCACCAUCUGCAGGAGCCCAACAAGGCCAUUUGGUUCUGAACACCACAUUCAAGAGGAGCAUUGUACACUGGAAUUUGCAAACUGAAACUGGAAGAUAGAAGUUUAUUUCUCUCUCCAGUCAUAAAGCUGUUGGAAAUUGAUACUGGGAGCUGCUAGUGACCAUCUUUCCAGUUCUAUGUGUGUUUGUGUUGCCAAAGCCAGGCAUCCCAUCUGGAGAGAGAGAAGACUGAAGCAGAAACACAAUGGGAAGGAAGCAAAGAUGGAGAGACGAGUUUUUGGAUUCAACUGAAGCCCUUGCUAUCUGGUAGAGUCAGAGUCAUCACAAUUGGGGGGUCUUCAUUAAGCUACAAUUUUUAAUGGAACAUCCUAGUGAGGUUUGAGAGUACAGCUUGAUGGUCUAUAUUACAUUACGAAGCCGAUUUUAUUGGAAAGAACUUGUUUGCAUCCCUGCUAGACAAAAACCUACAAGUUAACCUUUGCCUGUAUGGAGUUGUAAAACAGACCAGUUGAUAGAAAGAGAAGCCUGCUUCCCGAAGCCCUCAGCAGAAGCCGAGCAGAUGUUGGCACCAUGCUUCUUGUACAGCCUGCAGAACUUGAAGAAACACUCCAUAUUAGUUUUCUGGAGCCAUCGUUAUGAAGUAACACAGACUGGGUGGCAUAAACAAUGGAGAUUUAUUUUUUCACAAUUCCGGAGGCUAGAAGUUUGAGAUCAAGGUGUUGGAAAGUGUCUCAGGAUGAUACAUACCGGUUUUUAACUUUGGUGUCAUCAAAUGCAAUUGCAAUGUGACUGUUUCUUGAAAGCCCGAACUGCUUGCUCCCUAUCAAAAGAGCUGGUUCUGAUUCUGCAGCACAAGGACCCUGUAAAAUACCCAGGAGAGAAAAACAGGAGAUUAUGGACUGUUCUUUAAAAAGGAAGAAGAACACCUCCUGGAUUCGAUCCUCCAUUUCUGCAACGGGCAGCCCUCAAGAAGCAGGCAGAAGCAGUGCUUAAUAAAACGGUAUUCUCAGAUGAGCCAAUGUUACGGAAAAGAGUUGUACCAAACUGAUCACUCUAACAUGUAACCUCAAAGUUUAAAGCCAUUAUGGUGUAUAGUCCUUUGUUUUUAAGGACAUCCAAGGUGAUGUUUACUAUCAUUGAUUUGCAACAGGAUGGAUACUGUUUUAAUAAAACUUCUAUCACCUUCCUUUAUUAAA